AUGGACCCUCCGUGGCUCCCAGCAGCUUCCGUCUAUAUCCUGCGCCGCGAGUUUGUGCCCGGGAGCCCCAAGUCCAUCCCUGGCUGGCGCCCUGAGCCUGGGCGCCUACAGUACAGGGGACACCCUGGUCCCGUUGCAAGCCCCGUGGCAAGGCAACAAGAGGUCCUGCUGGACAUGAUGGUGGAAUCUGCCUCAGAGACAAUCAGAUCGGCUCCGUCUGGGCAGAAUGGCAUGGGCAGCCUCUCUGGGCAGGCAGAUGGCGGUGGCGGGACUGGGGCUGCAGGCACUGCUGCAGGCGGCCCGGGCAGGGACAGCACCAGCGGUAGGGAUGCAGUGGCCGGCGUGGACAGCAAUGGUGAGAUGAGCCCUGCGGAGCUUCUACACUUCCAGCAGCAACAGGUAGGCCCGGCAUCCUCCCACCUCAGCCCACUGCUCCAGCCAGUCAGUGCUGAGCCCCCUCCCUGAGCCUUCAGGCCCCCAAGGCCUCCUUCCCUCUGUGCCUCCCAUUAGGUGGCCCUGAGCCUGAGGCAGUGAGAGAGAGAUCAGCAGGCCUGGGGGCCCUGAGCUUGUACCAGGCCCAGGAGUGUUUGAAGGACAGGCAGUCGCCUCUACCCUGGUGCAGGCUGGGAAAGCAUAAAUUAACAGGGCCAAGGGUACAUGUGCCCUGGGGAAUCUUCACUUUGUCUCAGAAAACUUUCCCGCCCCCAGGUCAGCAUGGGUCCCUGGAGGUUACACUUCCUGAUUAAGUCUCCCAGCGAGGAGGCAAAGGCCCAGAGGCGAAGAUGGGCCUGGUUCAGACUCUGCUCCUAGAAGUCACUGCUGCUUGUGCUAACCCUUGGAGGCUCUGCUGGGACCCUGGAAAAGGGCCCUGCCUGUCCCUCUCCACACACUACCCGCCCCUGCCUCAGGUGUCCCCCCCUCACAGUGUCUCAUGCUCCCCCCCAAGUGCCAGCGUGCCGCAGAGUCCCAGCUACUCAUGAGGCCAAGGCGGGAGGAUUGCCCAGAGUUUCAGGGACAGCGUGGGCAACACAGUAAGACCCUAUCGCCAAAACAAAACAAAAAGCCAGGAUUUGGCUGGCUCCCG
rnacentral:lncRNA from 1 species